GCUGCGCUACGCAGAAACACGGAAUCUGGGUCAGCGGAGCUUUGCGUCGCGAUGCAACACAGAUAAGCUUGCGGGAGGAGGAUCGGUCUUCCGCGCUCACCUGGCGGACCGGGCCUCAUGCCUACACGGGAUAUUAAAAAGCUUUGGUUAAACACAAGCCGCGGUUUAGGCGUGCGGCGAUAGCCGGCUCCCUCACACUGCGACAGCAAAUGAAACAUGCACGGAGCUGUUUAGCGGAAGGGGCUUUAUUGGCGGCGACGGCAAGCGCUCUCAACCCAAGCAAAUAAAGAAGCAAAUAACGAUUUAUAUUCGUCACCGUGCGCGUAAAGGCAGCGCUCGGCGUGUACAAAUAUGUCUCAAUCCGCAGACGGGCUGCGAUGCGCUGCCUUUCUCUUCUACUUGACCUCGUCAUUAGCGCUAGCAGUGAUCUCAUUCGGAAAGGCGGGCGCCGACUAUCUCAAAGUGUCUGACACAUUUUUGCCUGCAAAUCCCGUUCAGUUCACAACUAAUUGGGGAACAGAAUGAAACAGAAUUUUCAUAAGGUAUCUAAAAGCAUCAAAACCAGAGUGCAGCGCUGAGGUUCUUUUCUUAUCCUUUGGUACAAUAAAGCAGACUCCUAGCCUGCUGAAUAAUCUAUGGUAAUUGUCCCAUGGGGCAAAGGAAAUCUAUUCAUGUUUAUUGUAGCAUGCUGUGCCCUACCAGGGCAAGAGACAAUGGGAGUGAGCGGGUUCCAAGCCCACAUGCUACAAUUCCCAAGAUGCAACAUGGCACUUUUGAUGAGAGACUGAGUACAUGUUUGUCUAUUAAGAUAUGUAAAUUUUUAAUCCCCCGUUCCCCUUUUACACCAUCCAUUUCUCGCAAAAAGGGAUGUUAACAAAGCUAUUAUAGUUGUACUAAAAUAUUUCAGUGUUAUAUCUGCGUGCUAUUCUUAAUAAUAAUUAGUGUCAGAGGGGUGGAACAAUCGUCGUUUCAGGAUGAAGCGAGCCAACAGAUUGCAGAGCUUUCAUGAGUAAACAAAAACAAAACAAGAGCCCCAUGAUUCUGUGCUCCAAGUUGUUAAGUCAACAUGAAACUGGGCAACAUAUUGUAAGAGAGCUGCUUGACUUGGCCCGCCACCAAUAAGAAGCAAAGAAACGGCUCCAUUUGCAGACACUGACCUUAUCUCUUCAUUCAAACCCCAGUCCUCAAACAAAGUAACAUGUCUGUCCGCAGGACUGUACUACAGAAGUCAAUCUAAUGAGAGAUAAUGUAAGCAUGACGUCUUGGUUUUUAAAGUGGACCUACCCUGCCCUCCAUGGUCAUCUGGGAUGUGGAAAAGUGGACAGAGCGGUAGAGCCUGACAACCCAGAAACAUCAGCCAACUGCUAGAACAUCAGGAACCUGGAGCUCCACCUUGUUGUCACAUCACAAAUGGAAAGGUGCGCUGAAUGCUAAUUUGGACACGAAGACUUGCCAAAUAUAUGGGCCGCCAGAGUUGGAAUGGUGUAAGCUGCAUUACUGAAGACAUUCUAUCAGGCUCUGGACCCCCUGCGACCCAGAAUAGGAUAAGCGGUUACAGAAAAUGGAUGGAUGGAUGCUUUUGUACAUCUGAAGAAUAAUGAAGGCAACUUCAAGGGUGACCACCGACAAAAGCUCUGCAUUUGGCUUUAAAACCUACAAGCUAAUUCUUGAAUCCUCACCUGCAAGUGUCAACCUUCACUUACCGCCAACAUGAACCACGAUACACUGAGUAUCUCCUUCUACGGCCAAUGGAGAACUUUUUGCUUGUCUAUAAACUAUGGCUAUGCCCACAGUAACCGAGCAACCCACUGCAACCAUUCCCCCGUAUACUGGGAUGACUGAGCCCCAGCACAGCCAUCCAUCACCCCAGUUUCCUCCAGACUGCUAAUACCCAGCUGCGCCUUUAAGCAGAUGGACAGUGCACGUGUUCCUCAGGCAUGAUGUUCGCAAAAGCUGAUUUACCGGCGGGCGAGAAAGGAACAGAGACAUGA